ACCUGAGUAGCUCAGUUGGUUAAGCGUCUGACUUUGGCUCAGAUCAUAUGAUCCUGGGGUCCUGGGAUCAAGCCCCAGCAUUGGGC
rnacentral:tRNA from 1 species